rnacentral:lncRNA from 1 species
AGAGAGAAUUCUGGGAACCCAAACAUAUUCUGCUGCUUCAAGACAUGAGGAACACAGUUCCCACGGGCCUCUCCUUAAGCUGAAGUGUCUCCUUACAUCUUUUGUACAUUCAUAAAUUUUGGAUACAGCUCUUUGUCAAGGUUUAUGAAUUGCACAUUAAGAAUAUAUUUUGUUCUAAGAGCAUUGGAACAAAAUCAUAGAAAAUGAACUAGGGGAAGGACUGAAGGAUCUGAAGGGGGUAGCUACCCCUUAGGAAGACUGGCAAUAUCAACUAGACCACCCAGAGCUCCAAGGUUUUAGUAAUCAUAAAACCAUUCCAAAUGCUGGCCAAGUGCAGCUAAUUUCGGUGGUGGAAUUUCUGAGAAUGACAGCCAUUGUCUAAGCAUUCAUCAAAGCAUGUUACAGGGAACCUGGAUUCAAUUCCUAGCACCCACAUGGAGGUUCAUGAACACCUAUAACUCCAGUUCCAAGAGAUCCAAUAUUCUUUUCUGGCCUCUGAAACAUUCACACAAGAUCAAAUGCCCUGUACAGCAUGAAUGCAGACCUUAAGAGGAAGUGGGAUCAGAAACAAUGAAGAGUUCAAUAUCAAAGGUCACAAGAGGUUCUGGGAAAUGGAAUUCCAGGAUUAUCAGUGUGUGGUGUUUCAGAACAGUCACAUACGUCUACAACUUGCUGUGCAAUCUCAGCUUUUUAAAUGACAUUGACAUUGUUUUCUGAUUCAGAAUUCCAGACAAUCUCAGGGAAGACAUUAAAAAAUGGUUUCGGGAGAGAAGCAUCACGCCUGGUGCAGUGCAUCUUUUUUAUGGCUCAAUCCCUGUUUAACCCAGGGUUUCAAAAGUUGCUUCUUUAUCAUGGACAUAACGUAUUCUUAGUACAAAAACAAUAAAUAACUCACUAGGUGUGGUUCCAUGCUAUCAGCGUCCUUUAGCAGCAGGAAGAUUGUUUAAAUUCAGUAGUUUGAGCUAAAAAAUCAAACAAGAAAAUUGUAAAAAAAGAAAAAAGAUUAUAAGUAUUUUAAGGAUUUUCACAUGAUUAUAGCCUAUAUUUUUAAAAGAAGGAGGAAGAUGAUAAUUAGCAAUAGAAGGACAAAUCUGGAAAGAAAGAAAGGAUAUAAAUUUUCAAAUAAUAAAACAACACGUAAAAUUACAGGGAUAAUAGCCAUUUACAAUGGAUUAUCAUCAUUCUAGAUAUAGUUACAAAAACAUAAGAGGUUUGGAUAUGGCAUGAAUUGAAUUAUUUUUAAUUUUGUAAGGAGUUGACUGAAGCCAAAAGGAUGAGAGAACAAGACUGAGACCACAAAGAAAUGAGAGAGAGGGAAAAAAAGGAAGAAAUGAAGGAAUGCAUACCAAAUAGGAUGGGUGGGUAAAACUA